rnacentral:misc_RNA from 1 species
CCAAUGACCAUAAAAUGGGUUUUGCAGACUGAACCAUCCAAAUGGCACAAGGUUUCGAAGCAUAAAUCUAGUACAAACAACACACUUUAUAAUGCGUAUGUAAUCGAACCAAACUGCAAAAGGUUGAUGUCAAUAAGCUAGUGUAUCGACCAAUAAGGAUAAAUUUAACUAUAGAAGCACAUUACAAAUUUAGAAGGAUAUGAAUUGAAGUAGCAAGCAAAAUCUCAAGGUGUAGAUUAAAUGCAAGGUCUAUUUUCUGGAAAUCCCAAUGACAAUUUAAUACAAUAGGACUGACUAGCUAUUCAAUUUCACUUCUUCAAUCCCAGGUGACCCUGCACCUAGUCACAUGGCUUCAUUAAUAGAAAAUUGAGUGAAGGGUCAACUCUGCACAAUUGAUGAGAAAUCAAGUUCUACCAUUUGCUUCAUCAGCCAAAACAGUACAGCCCAACAGAAGCAAUAAAAGCAACUUCAAGGAAUAUCAAGAGCCCACUUCCAAAUCAAGCAACUUGCACACAUUGCAUCACUCUGUUUGACCAUCAUCCCCAGGCAGGCCAAAUAUACGGAGGUUGCGAUCCAUUGAUCCUACUGCUAUGUAUUUUGCAUCAGGACCAAAUUUUACACAAGUUGCUCUUCCUGUGCCAGACAAAUCAGGGAGAGUUUUGAUGCAAUUCCAUUCUGCUUUCACACUGGCAACUUGGAAAACUCUGCACAAAAUUAGAUGGAAAUAAUGAUAUGUCCAAGAAAAGUUCUCACUUGUCAGGACAGAAUUAGGAAACAUGUUAUUGGGGCACCAAGCGAUAUUACUUUUAUUAUAGGAAAAUCCAAUAAAAAGUUUUUCUGGACAGCCCAAAACAUUUUGGAAAUGAGCAAACCACACUUGAUGAAGCAUUUCAAUUUCAGACAGAAAUGAAAAGAGAAAGGAAAAGAAAGGAAUCUCUUGAAAAUCUAUGGAAACUUAAUAUUUUAGGAAAAAAAAAUGAUGGAAAAUCCAAUGUUUGAAAUCCAUAAGACACCCCCACCUUAUAUCUGAGCCUGCAACUCCAAGGUAACAGCCACUGUGGUCAAAUUCCACAGAGUUUGUUGGUAUAUCUGAAUCAUAAAGGUUAAGUGUCCGGAAGUUCUUCAAUUUGCGCAAAUCCCAUAAUUUAACACUAUCAUGUGCUGCAGUUGCUAGAAAGUAACCGUUUUCUGAGAAAGAUAUAGCAGUCACUGCUCCAACAUGUCCAUCAAAUCUUGCAACAUUUGCCUGGCUUUUUACAUCCCAAAUUUUAACAACAGCUUCUGAGGUUCCUGUUCCAAGGAUGAGACCAUCAGGAUGAAAAGCUGCAGAUGUAUAGCCCUCAGGUUUAGAAGUGUCGGAUUUUGAAUUGUCAGAGACCUGUGACAAGCAUAUCCCAGAGGAGAGAUCAUAGAAGCACCACGUAUUAUCUAGAGAAGCAGUCACAAAGUAGUUUUUUGUGGCAUGUACAGUGACAGCAUGCACCUGACAGGAUCGAUAAGCAAACCCAUCGUAUGUCAAUAAAAUGGAACAAAAUCAGAACUGCAUCACAAUCAGCUCAAGCAAUGCAUUAAAAGACCGAGAAAAAUGAAAAUAGGUUAAGGUCUUUCCCAGCAGAUCAUGGUUAAGAAACUAGUACCACCUUUCAUGCCUUCUAAAUUCAAUUUACCAGGCUGCAAUUUUGGAAUGAUUAUCAUGUUUUCAUUUCACUACUAGAGGAGAUACUUAUGCUGCACUUCUCAAAACUUAACUUGAAGUCUGUAUCUUAAUGAAUUUCCACUGAGCUCACCUCAAGGUGUUUGCAUGUGAAGCCAAUCACCCUCACCACACCAAUGAGCGAGGGAGGGAGGGGGGCAGCAGGCAUGACAAGUAAUCAAGGAUAUGUACAUCAGCUCCACAUUACUUUAGCAGAACUUGCUUUGCUCAAGGCUUAGCAAACAAGACACAAGGUGGCUUCAACAGCCUUCUAAUGUAUGCAGCCAAAGAGGCCCAAUUUGCCAGAUAUUACCUAUCCAGUCCAUUUUAAAGUAGAUAACCUAAGCCAAGAAUAUAUAAAUACAAGAAAUCCUAUCAUAAUUAGAAUGCCCACCAACAAUAUGCUUAAAUUUAACAAAACACAAGCAACUUCUGGAAUUAGUUUCCACAGCUCAAAAUAUCUAUCAGCCAUUGGUAUAAAACAUGCAGCUUGAAUGGCAUUCACCUCAGCAGUAUGAUCCUUCAAGAUGUGUCUGCAGUCAUAGUUUCCAUCUUCAGAUCCUUGCCAUACACGAACUGUCUUGUCUGCUGAUCCAGUUAAAAAUAAAUCACCGUCUGUGACAAAUUUCACACUAGUAACCUUUUUUGAGUGACCACUUAGUGUCGAUAGGAUUUGUCCUGACCGGCGAUCAAAAAGUACUGCAGUGGAAUCAACCCCUCCAGUAGCAAUGAUGUCCUUGGAGUAAUGGAUAUCGACAGAUACAAUGCCAGGCUUGCUGGUUUUGUGAAGGGGAUGACUGGAAAGCUGUGUGUACCUCUCUAAAGCAUCAACAGGAGACAAUGUUGGAGGAAUCUGCCGCUUUUUCCGCUGUUGUGAAAGGGCUGCAUUACAGUCUGUUAACUCAGUAAUGAUGGUGGCCGAAAUUCCAGAACACAUUCUCUUUCCAGGUGGGCCCAAAUUUUCAUCCUCAGCACCUCUUUUUCCAUUGCUAAUAGCAGAGACAUUGGUUGUAGCAGCUGCUGUUGCUAAAAUAGGCAUCUGCCUUUCAGCUUGUGCAAGCAAUGACCUUGCUUCAUCCCUUUCCUUUUUAAGUCUUGUAAUCACUCGGCAAGCAGCAUCAUG